rnacentral:rRNA from 1 species
CCUACGGGAGGCAGCAGUAAGGAAUAUUGGGCAAUGGACGGAAGUCUGACCCAGCCAUGCCGCGUGGAGGAUGAAGGUCCUCUGGAUUGUAAACUUCUUUUCUCUGGGGCGAAAAAAGCCUUUUCUAAGGCGCUUGACAGUACCAGAGGAAUAAGCACCGGCUAACUCCGUGCCAGCAGCCGCGGUAAUACGGAGGGUGCAAGCGUUAUCCGGAUUCACUGGGUUUAAAGGGUGCGUAGGUGGGCUUGUAAGUCAGUGGUGAAAUCCCCGAGCUUAACUUGGGAACUGCCGUUGAUACUAUAAGUCUUGAAUAUCGUGGAGGUAAGCGGAAUAUGUCAUGUAGCGGUGAAAUGCUUAGAUAUGACAUAGAACACCAAUUGCGAAGGCAGCUUGCUACACGAUCAUUGACACUGAGGCACGAAAGCGUGGGGAUCAAACAGGAUUAGAUACCCUGGUAGUCCACGCCCUAAACUAUGGGUACUCGACAUCAGCGAUACACUGUUGGUUGUCUGAGCGAAGACAUUAAGUUAUCCCACCCGUCGGAGUACGAGCGCGAGAGUUAGUAAACGUUAAAGUUAGUAAGUUAGUACGGACGUGAGACGUACGACCGACGGACGACGACGAGGGGAGGGUUAGGG